CCUACGGGUGGCAGCAGUGAGGAAUAUUGGUCAAUGGGCGGGAGCCUGAACCAGCCAAGCCGCGUGAGGGAAGAAGGUACAGCGUAUCGUAAACCUCUUUUGUCAGGGAACAAAGGCGGGGACUAGUCCCCGGAUGAGGGUACCUGAAGAAAAAGCAUCGGCUAACUCAGCGCCAGCAGCCGGGGUAAUACGGAGGAUGCGAGGGUUAUCCGGAUUUAUUGGGGUAAAGGGGUGCGCAGGCGGCCUGUUAAGCCGGCGGGAAAAGCCCGGGGCUCAACCCCGGCGAGCCGUUGAAACUGGGGGGAUGGAGUUGGAGAGAGGUAGGCGGAAUGCGCGGUGUAGCGGUGAAAUGCGUAGAUAUCGCGCAGAACCCCGAUUGCGAAGGCAGCGUACCGGCUCCACACUGACGCUGAGGCACGAAAGCGUGGGUAUCGAACAGGAUUAGAUACCCUGGUAGUC
rnacentral:rRNA from 1 species